GGAACCGGUUAGUUGGUUGGUUAAGUUUUGAAAAAGUUGUGGUCUCAACACAGAUCUGCUUUUUUUCUGUAUUAUUUUUAUUUCAUCUUCUAUUUUUUCCAGUUUCUUUUUUCUUGGAGUUGGUUCUUAACAGCCAAAGAUGUAGAAAAAGAAUCCUGAGGGCUCUUGUUUUAUCUUUUUUUGUUUUUUUUUUUAUUUUAUCUUUUUUUUAUCCGAUCAGAGUUUGCUGAUAGUAUUAGUGUGGAAGUGAAACAUGGACGACAGAACAAACGAGGUGUUAGAUGUAUAAAAGUUCUUGCACACCAUACAGAGCCGUGUCCAUUUAGGAGCGUUGAGGGAGCCAUGUCAAGAUGAAAUAGAAAACGAGGAAAAUGAAAAAAAUAUAUAUACAAAAGCAUCAAAUUAUAAGUAAUAUAAAAAAAUAAAGAUAAGAUAUAGAACAA